rnacentral:rRNA from 1 species
ACGCUCGACACCUACGGGAGGCAGCAGUAGGGAAUCUUCCACAAUGGACGCAAGUCUGAUGGAGCAACGCCGCGUGAGUGAAGAAGGUUUUCGGAUCGUAAAGCUCUGUUGUUGGUGAAGAAGGAUAGAGGUAGUAACUGGCCUUUAUUUGACGGUAAUCAACCAGAAAGUCACGGCUAACUACGUCGACCGCAGCCGCGGUAAUCUGAGCGGGCUGGCAAGGC